UGUCCAGUAGCACCUUAGAGACCAACUAAGUUUGUUCUGGGUAUAAGCUUUCGUGUGCAUGCACACUUCUUUAGAUACUUUGGUAUCUGAAACUUAGUUGGUCUCCAAGGUGCUACUGGACA